rnacentral:rRNA from 1 species
UGGGGAAUUUUGGACAAUGGGCGAAAGCCUGAUCCAGCAAUGCCGCGUGUGUGAAGAAGGCCUUCGGGUUGUAAAGCACUUUUGUCCGGAAAGAAAUCCUUGGCUCUAAUACAGUCGGGGGAUGACGGUACCGGAAGAAUAAGCACCGGCUAACUACGUGCCAGCAGCCGCGGUAAUACGUAGGGUGCAAGCGUUAAUCGGAAUUACUGGGCGUAAAGCGUGCGCAGGCGGUUUGCUAAGACCGAUGUGAAAUCCCCGGGCUCAACCUGGGAACUGCAUUGGUGACUGGCAGGCUAGAGUAUGGCAGAGGGGGGUAGAAUUCCACGUGUAGCAGUGAAAUGCGUAGAGAUGUGGAGGAAUACCGAUGGCGAAGGCAGCCCCCUGGGCCAAUACUGACGCUCAUGCACGAAAGCGUGGGGAGCAAACAAGAUUAGAUACCCUGGUAGUCCACGCCCUAAACGAUGUCAACUAGUUGUUGGGGAUUCAUUUCCUUAGUAACGUACUAACGCGUGAAGUUGACCGCCUGGGGAGUACGGUCGCAAGAUUAAACUUAAAGGAAUUGACGGGGUCAUAGCUGUUUCCU